GCCGGGAUAGCUCAGUUGGUAGAGCAGGGGAUUG
rnacentral:tRNA from 2 species